CUCUGGCCUUUGUUAGUCUUGUAUGAUUUUUAAUUCUAGUUUCUUGUGUAUAAUUCGGGGUUUAGUAUGACGUCCAUUAUCACUGUACUAGUAUACAUAUUUUUUUCAGGGGCCAGCUGAAGGACGCCUCCGGGUGCGGCAGUUUCUCGCUACAUUGAAGACCCAUUGAUGGCCUUCGGCUGUUGUCUGCUCUAUGGUCGGG
rnacentral:lncRNA from 1 species